rnacentral:lncRNA from 1 species
CGGGUCCUUCUCCUGCCCACGUGAAGGAAGAAGGCGCAGUGGGGCUGAGGCCUCACUAGGGCACCCACACGGAGCGCUGCGCUCAGCCUUCUGGACCCGGUACCUCCCCAGGCUCUGAGGACAGCAGCAGCCCCAGGACGGACGGAGUUCUUCGGGCUGGGAAGUCCAAGAUCAAGGCACUACCAUGUGAUGCAGGCAGAAGGUGGAAGGACAAAAGGGAAGAAACCUCAUGUCCCCACAUGGUGGAAAAGCAGAAGUGCAAGAGAGAACCAGGAUCUUACUUUGUCACCCAGGCUGGAAUGCAGUGGCCCAAUCAUGGCUUACUGCAGCCUCGACCUCCUGCACUCAAGCGAUCCUCCCACCUCAGCGUCUGGAGUAGCUGGGACCACAGGCGUGUGCCAUCACACCUUACAAAUUUUUGUGUAUUUUGUACAGAUGGGGCUUCACCAUGUUGCUCAGGCUGGUCUCAAACUCCUGGGCUAAAACAAUCUGUCUGCCUCAGCCUUCCAAAGUGCUGAGAUUACAGGCAUGAGCCACAGUGCCUGGCCAAAGUAUUUCUUUAUACAUGUGUCUUUAUGUGUAUGAUUAUUUAUAUACCUAUAUAUAUAAUACUGACAACUGUUAAAGAUACCAAAAAGCACAAAGACGAGUAAAAAGAGUGAAUAUAACACAACAAAUGCCAACUCAGAGAGAACAAGUGUUAACAUUUUGUCCUGCUUGUUUCCAGGGUUUUAAAAAACUAAGUAAAUAAAACAUUCAAAUUCUUCUGAUCCC